AAGAGACCAACUGUUUCCUCG
rnacentral:miRNA from 1 species